CAGGGCCCUCCGCGCGGAGGAUCUGUGCGCCCACCGCAAUCGGUCCAGGGCGGCGCGGCAGGGGAAGGGACGGCUGGUGAUGAUGAAUGGUGGCCAAGCCAGAAGCACCCUGGAGGGCGACGGCUGGGCGGAGGGAGGAGACCGCGGGGCUGAGGGCCUCGCCUUGGAGCUGCAUGCGGACCUUGAUAAGGUCGAGGGGGUGGGUGGAACAGCCGGCCACGAUCGAGGCGAUGCCUCCUUCCACGAAUCCUUUCACGCCCAUCUCUCGUUCGCAGAAUAAAAAGAAUAAAUCAACUAAAAAUAAUGCUCAAGGUGGAUCCUUUAGGCCAAGGGGGCGGACAAA
rnacentral:lncRNA from 1 species